rnacentral:sRNA from 1 species
CAAGCGUUGAGUCGGAAAGGAUGAGAACCGUCAAGGUUCGAGUCGAGCGUAAGCGAGACAACAUCACCCAGUGAUGGCCCGAAGGGCAAGGCGCAAGCCGCGUCAUCCUGCACGACCCACCA